UGGGGAAUAUUGCACAAUGGGCGAAAGCCUGAUGCAGCGACGCCGCGUGAGGGAUGACGGCCUUCGGGUUGUAAACCUCUUUCAGCAGGGACGAAGCGCAAGUGACGCUACCUGCAGAAGAAGCACCGGCUAACUACGUGCCAGCAGCCGCGGUAAUACGUAGGGUGCAAGCGUUGUCCGGAAUUACUGGGUGUAAAGAGUUCGUAGGCGGUUUGUCGCGUCGUUUGUGAAAACCAGCAGCUCAACUGCUGGCUUGCAGGCGAUACGGGCAGACUUGAGUACUGCAGGGGAGACUGGAAUUCCUGGUGUAGCGGUGAAAUGCGCAGAUAUCAGGAGGAACACCGGUGGCGAAGGCGGGUCUCUGGGCAGUAACUGACGCUGAGGAACGAAAGCGUGGGUAGCGAACAGG
rnacentral:rRNA from 1 species